rfam:Picea glauca, whole genome shotgun sequence.
UCUUAUGUACAUUCCUACAAUGUUAAUGCACCAUAUACCAUCAUAACUCCACAUUUAAGUGUGUUGGGGAUAAAGUAGUACUGGGAUGGGUGAUCUCCUAUGAAGUCCUAGUGUUUUACAUGUC